rnacentral:tRNA from 1 species
GAGGGUGUAGCUCAGUGGUAGAUUGUGUGCUUAGCGUGCACGACGUCCUGGGUUCAAUUCCCAGCAUCUCCA